GACGAACGCUGGCGGCGUGCUUAACACAUGCAAGUCGAACGGAAAGGCCUUUUCGGAGGUACUCGAGUGGCGAACGGGUGAGUAACACGUGGGUGAUCUGCCCUGCACUCUGGGAUAAGCCUGGGAAACUGGGUCUAAUACCGGAUAGGACCGCACUUUAGUGUGUGUGGUGGAAAGUUUUUUCGGUGUAGGAUGAGCCCGCGGCCUAUCAGCUUGUUGGUGGGGUAAUGGCCUACCAAGGCGGCGACGGGUAGCCGGACUGAGAGGUUGGUCGGCCACAUGGGGACUGAGUGCGGGCCCGGAUUCUUCGGGGGGGAAGCGGGGGGGAAUUUUGCACAAGGGGGGAAAGCCUGAGGAAGCGAGGCCGCGUGGGGGAUGACGGCCUUCGGGUUGUAAACUCCUUUCGCCAGGGACGAAGCGUUUUGUGACGGUACCUGGAGAAGAAGCACCGGCUAACUACGUG
rnacentral:rRNA from 1 species